CGCGGGAUUGCCCGCCGCGCGCGGCGGUUGGCCCGGGGGCACGGGGGGACGGGCUGCAGCAGGCGCGAAAACUCCGCAAUACGCGAAAGCGUGACGGGGCUAUCCCGAGUGCCGUCCGCUGAGGACGGCUUUUCCCCAGUGUAUAAAGCUGGGGGAAUAAGGAGAGGGCAAGACUGGUGUCAGCCGCCGCGGUAAUACCAGCUCUCCGAGUGGUGGGGAUGCUUAUUGGGCCUAAAGCAUUCGUAGCCGGCUGGGCAAGUCCUCCGUUAAAUCCAGCGAUUCAAUCGUUGGACUGCAGGGGAUACUGUCCGGCUAGGGGGCGGAAGAGGCCGACGGUAUUCUCGGGGUAGGGGUGAAAUCCUAUAAUCCCGGGAGGACCACCAGUGGCGAAGGCUGUCGGCUAGAACGCGCCCGACGGUGAGGGAUGAAAGCUGGGGGAGCGAACCGGAUUAGAUACCCGGGUAGUCCCAGCUGUAAACUAUGCAGGCUAGGUGUUGGCGCGGCUACGUGCCGCUCCAGUGCCGCAAGGAAGCCGUUAAGCCUGCCGCCUGGGAAGUACGGCCGCAAGGCUGAAACUUAAAGGAAUUGGCGGGGGAGCACCACAAGGGGUGAAGCUUGCGGUUUAAUUGGAGUCAACGCCGGAAAUCUCACCGGGGGCGACAGCAGGGUGAAGGCCAGAUUGAAGGUCUUGCUAGACAAGCUGAGAGGAGGUGCAUGGCCGUCGCCAGUUCGUGCCGUGAGGUGUCCUGUUAAGUCAGGCAACGAUCGAGACCCGCGUCCCCUGUUGCCACCGGCCUUUGAGCCGAGCACACUGGGGAGACUGCCGCCGAUAAGACGGAGGAAGGAGCGGGCCACGGCAGGUCAGUAUGCCCCGAAUCCCCCGGGCCACACGCGAGCUGCAAUGGCAGGUACAGAGGGUUCCGACCCCGAAAGGGGAAAGCAAUCCCGAAAGCCUGCCGUAGUUGGGAUCGAGGGUUGAAACUCACCCUCGUGAACAUGGAAUCCCUAGUAAUCGCGUGUCACUAUCGCGCGGUGAAUACGUCCCUGCUCCUUGCACUAAUUCGCCGAAUCACUAGU
rnacentral:rRNA from 1 species